rnacentral:rRNA from 1 species
GUAGCGGACGGGUGAGUAAUGCAUGAGUACCUGCCCUGGGGAGGGGGACAACAGCUGGAAACGGCUGCUAAUACCCCGUAAGCCGGGAGGUGAAAGGGAGCGAUCCCGCCCUGGGAUGGGCUCAUGUCCUAUCAGCUGGUUGGUGAGGUAACGGCUCACCAAGGCGACGACGGGUAGCCGGACUGAGAGGUCGACCGGCCACACUGGAACUGAGAUACGGUCCAGACUCCUACGGGAGGCAGCAGUGGGGAAUAUAGGGCAAUGGGGGGAACCCUGACCCAGCGACGCCGCGUGGGUGAAGAAAUCCUUCGGGAUGUAAAGCCCUGUUGUAUGGGAAGAGCGGAAGACGGUACCAUACGAGGAAGCCCCGGCAAACUACGUGCCAGCAGCCGCGGUAAUACGUAGGGGGCAAGCGUUGUCCGGAAUUACUGGG